UACGGAGGGUGCAAGCGUUAUCCGGCUUCACUGGGUUUAAAGGGUGCGUAGGCGGUCAUAUAAGUCAGUGGUGAAAUACUUCAGCUCAACUGGAGAGGUGCCAUUGAUACUGUAUGACUUGAGUACAGACGAGGUAGGCGGAAUUGACGGUGUAGCGGUGAAAUGCUUAGAGAUCGUCAAGAACACCGAUAGCGAAGGCAGCUUACUAGACUGUAACUGACGCUGAUGCACGAAAGUGUGGGGAUCAAACAGG
rnacentral:rRNA from 1 species